GCUCAGUAACACGUGGAUAACCUGCCCUUGGGUCCGGCAUAACCCCGGGAAACUGGGGAUAAUUCCGGAUAACGCAUAUAUGCUGGAAUGCUUUAUGCGUAAAAUGGAUUCGUCUGCCCAAGGAUGGGUCUGCGGCCUAUCAGGUAGUAGUGGGUGUAAUGUACCUACUAGCCGACGACGGGUACGGGUUGUGAGAGCAAGAGCCCGGAGAUGGAUUCUGAGACAUGAAUCCAGGCCCUACGGGGCGCAGCAGGCGCGAAAACUUUACAAUGCGGGAAGCCGUGAUAAGGGGACACCGAGUGCCAGCAUCAUAUGCUGGCUGUCCAGGUGUGUAAAAUACACCUGUUAGCAAGGGCCGGGCAAGACCGGUGCCAGCCGCCGCGGUAACACCGGCGGCCCGAGUGGUGAUCGUGAUUAUUGGGUCUAAAGGGUCCGUAGCCGGUUUGGUCAGUCCUCCGGGAAAUCUGACGGCUUAACCGUUAGGCUUUCGGAGGAUACUGCCAGGCUUGGAACCGGGAGAGGUAAGAGGUACUACAGGGGUAGGAAUGAAAUCUUGUAAUCCCUGUGGGACCACCUGUGGCGAAGGCGUCUUACCAGAACGGGUUCGACGGUGAGGGACGAAAGCUGGGGGCACGAACCGGAUUAGAUACCCGGGUAGUCCCAGCCGUAAACGAUGCUCGCUAGGUGUCAGGCAUGGCGCGACCGUGUCUGGUGCCGCAGGGAAGCCGUGAAGCGAGCCACCUGGGAAGUACGGCCGCAAGGCUGAAACUUAAAGGAAUUGGCGGGGGAGCACAACAACGGGUGGAGCCUGCGGUUUAAUUGGACUCAACGCCGGACAACUCACCGGGGGCGACAGCAAUAUGUAGGCCAAGCUGAAGACUUUACCUGAAUCGCUGAGAGGAGGUGCAUGGCCGUCGCCAGUUCGUACUGUGAAGCAUCCUGUUAAGUCAGGCAACGAGCGAGACCCGUGCCCACUGUUACCAGCAUAUCCUCCGGGAUGAUGGGUACACUGUGGGGACCGCCGGUGUUAAUCGGAAGAAGUGCGGGCCACGGUAGGUAGUAUGCCCCAAUCUCCCGGGCUCACCGGGCUCAAUAAUGGACAAUGGUCCCUACCCCAAGGGGUGGAUCUAUAACCAUCCUAAUUUGAUCAAGGCUUAAUCGCUCCGAAACUGAACCCAAAAAUCCGUUCAUAUACGCGGGAAACUCCUGUCCUUGCAACCGAUUUUUAAAAAUCUCCAAUUUCACUCCUG
rnacentral:rRNA from 1 species